AUGAGCGCGAUAAGGGCAUUCG
rnacentral:rRNA from 1 species